AAACCCUAAAGUGCAAGAGGGAGACGCAAACGCAGCCCUCGACUUUGAGCCCGAGGACGAUGACCGAAGGCCGAGCGCAACACUAUGCUCUAGACGGCGUUGAGCCCCAGCGAUGGUUCUGAAAACGAUAAACGCAGGGAAGCUGCGGAGAAGGAGGAGAGGAUCAUCUGUUAGCAUAAAUGGCUUCCUGAAGCCUGCUGAAGGGGAGAACCAGAGGUGCUAUGGUGGUCGUAAUCGGGUCCAAGAGGCGGAACAACGGGGAGCGUGGAGGUUACUCGAGCAGUACUAAAGCACCCCCAUUGCAGAUCCUACAGUCAUCCCAUCUCUAGGUGGCAAAUGAGAGCCCGGCUCAUCUAGUUCCAGCUCUACGGGUAUCAUAAGAAAUUUUUUUAUCUUAAGAAGUAUUUUUAUUAUCAGUGUUUUUUGAGUGUUCAUUUUAUGUCAUGGGCAAAUGGAUCUUGCAUCAGUUUUGAGUUGGAAUAGAGAAUCCCUGCGUUUGAAAUCUACUUUGAUUAUAUCUGGUUUUUAUAGGAAUUAUAA